ensembl:snRNA U2 U2 spliceosomal RNA
AUUGCUUCUCAGCCUUUUGGCUAAGAUCAAGUGUAGUAUCUGUUCUUAUCAGUAUAAAUUUUAUCAUACCAAAAUAUUCAAUAUUCAAGCUGCAUGGAACAAAAUUCUUU